rnacentral:rRNA from 1 species
UACGUAGGGGGCAAGCGUUGUCCGGAAUCAUUGGGCGUAAAGAGCGCGUAGGCGGCCCCUGUAAGUCCGCUGUGAAAAGUCAAGGGCUCAACCCUUGGAUGCCGGUGGAUACUGCAGGGCUAGAGUCCGGAAGAGGCGAGUGGAAUUCCUGGUGUAGCGGUGAAAUGCGCAGAUAUCAGGAGGAACACCAAUGGCGAAGGCAGCUCGCUGGGACGGUACUGACGCUGAGACGCGAAAAGCGUGGG